rnacentral:SRP_RNA from 1 species
CCGUGCUAGACGGGGAGGCAGCGGUGCCCUGUAGCCCGCAAUCCGCUAUAGCGGGGUUGAAUCCCUUUUCGAGGUCUGUGCACUGUAAGGCAGCCUUAAGUACGUGGUGUUGACGUUCAGGUCCUGCGCAACGGAAACUCGCGAACCCUGUCAGGUCCGGAAGGAAGCAGCAGUAAGUGAGACCUUUCGUGUGCCGCGGGGCUACCUGGGCUGAGCCGGCGGCUUAAGAAACGCUUAUGGCGCUCUCAUCGACAAAAGGUGCACGG